AGCUCCAAUAGCGUAUAUUAAAGUUGUUGCAGUUAAAAAGCUCGUAGUUGGAUUUCGGCAUGGGCCAGUUGGUCCGCCGCAAGGUGAGUUACUGACUGGUUUGUUCUUCUUCGCAAAGACUGCGUGUGCUCUUUACUGAGUGUACGUAGGAUUUACGACGUUUACUUUGAAAAAAUUAGAGUGUUCAAAGCAGGCUAUCGCUUGAAUACAUGAGCAUGGAAUAAAGGAAUAGGACUUUGGUUCUAUUUGGUUGGUUUCGAGGACCGAAGUAAUGAUUAAGAGGGACAAUUGGGGGCAUCCGUAUUUCGUUGUCAGAGGUGAAAUUCUUGGAUUUACGAAAGACGAACAACUGCGAAAGCACUUGCCAAGAGUGUUUUCA
rnacentral:rRNA from 1 species